rnacentral:rRNA from 1 species
AGUUAAUAUUCUUGUACUAAGUGUCGGAGAUUGUUUAACUUUACGUUGAACAUAUGUGGCAACACAAACGAGCUCAAAUACAUCACAAGUGGUCCUGGAAAGAGUUUUCUCUUCUUUGUUACUUCAUCAGACGACCCUGGAAUCAGUUCAACUGGAGAUAGGGUUCAAAUGAAGGUAAAGAGUAGCCGUUCUUGCUACUUCCUCGGUGCAUCAUUUGUGAUCCUUGAAAAUUUGAGCGAGAUAAUCAAUUUCGCACUUAUCUGUACUCUAAACCGCAUCAGGUCUCCAAGGUGAAAAGCCUCUAGUCAAUUAGAACAAGGUAGCACAAGGGAAGUCGGCAAAAUCGAUCGGCAACUUCGGGAUAACGAUUGGCUCUAAGUGCUAGGGUGUUCGGGCUUUAUGAUAAAGCAGUAGACUUGCCAUUGGAGCUGAACUUUUGGGCGUAGCAAUACAACUGAUCGUUCGGACUAGUGACUUGUCUUGCUGUGGAAUCGUUUUGCUACGGUAUGCGGUUCGUUCGCGGAUCGUAUUACUUCGGGCAUCGUUUAAUAGCAAACUUAGAACUCGCUGCGUCUAGGGGAAUCCGACUGUCUAAUUAAAACAGAGCUUUGCGAUUGGCCGGAAAACUUGGUGUUGACGCAAAGUGAUUUCUGCCCAGUGCUCUGAAUGUUAACGUGAAGAAAUUCAAUUAAGCGCGGGUAAACGGCGGGAGUAACUAUGACUCUCUU